UGGGGAAUCUUGCGCAAUGGGCGAAAGCCUGACGCAGCGACGCCGCGUGGGGGAUGAAGGCCCUCGGGUUGUAAACCCCUUUCGGCAGGGACGAAGCGUUUCGUGACGGUACCUGCAGAAGAAGCCCCGGCUAACUACGUGCCAGCAGCCGCGGUAAGACGUAGGGGGCGAGCGUUGUCCGGAUUCAUUGGGCGUAAAGAGCGCGUAGGCGGCUUGGUAAGUCGGGUGUGAAAUCCUGGGGCUCAACCCCGGAACUGCACCCGAAACUGCCCGGCUAGAGGUAGGUAGGGGAGAUCGGAAUUCCUGGUGUAGCGGUGAAAUGCGCAGAUAUCAGGAGGAACACCGGUGGCGAAGGCGGAUCUCUGGGCCUUACCUGACGCUGAGGCGCGAAAGCUAGGGGAGCGAACAG
rnacentral:rRNA from 1 species